rnacentral:rRNA from 1 species
GACAGAGGAUGCAAACGUUGCUCGGAAUUACUGGGCGUAAAGCGCGCGCAGGCGGAUUCGUAAGUCGGGAGUGAAAACCCCGGGCUUAACCCGGGAAGUGCCUUCGAUACUGCGGGACUAGAGUACUGGAGAGGGGAGCGGAAUUCCCGGUGUAGAGGUGAAAGUCGUAGAUAUCGGGUGGAACACCAGUGGCGAAGGCGGCUCUCUGGACAGAUACUGACGCUGAGGCGCUAAAGCGUGGGAAGCAAACAGG